ACCGAGAAGAAAGGAGAGAGAUGAGGUGUUCUAUGAACAUCUGUCCCUGAUGAAUUCCAAGGAAAGACGGGCCCACUCAUGAGAGAUCUACUACCCCCCGCAACCCAUGUAUUCUAGGAUCCACGCAGCUCUUUUCAGUCCUAGAAGUUUCAUCAGUUAUACCUGCUUCCCUGAGAGCUGAAUGAUCUGACUAAAGGCAAGUUUUGGUAAGUAGUUUAUUUUUACACUGUUCCUUUCUGUUCAGAAUAAACAAUAAUGUGUGAGGCAGUGUGUUUGGUGUCCUAUAUUCCUGAUAGCUAAUAUUAUUCAAAUUUCAUUUGAUUUGAAUAAUUCUUUUCUCUGAACUUUAGUGCAGGAGUGUGUGGCAGGUGAGGGGAAGCUCUAUUUGCUAUGCUUUAAAGACUCACUUUCAUCUUUCUGGAACAAAGCAAGAGAAAACACAUACCACGCACCACAAUUCCAUAUACACAGUACUGUUUACCUAUAGUGUUUUCCAGUUUUGUGUAGGUGCAGUUAAUAGAUUUCUUCAUAGUUAUAUCCAAAAUGAAGAGGUGGCAUCAUAAUGCCUAGACCCUUAGGGAAAAACACAUUAAAGAUGUACAUUUCCCAAAAAUGAGUCAGUUGAUUUUAUUCAUUAAAAAUAUGCAUAAUAAAAGGCCAAGCACAAAGCUCUUUAUAAAAAGGAGCAAAAUGUAUUUUCCAGAAGAGUUAGAUAAAGGCAUGAGAUGAAUUUCAGUUAAAUGGAUCUAUUUCUUUGUGGGUUUUGAGAACUCAUUUUAGAUACUGAAUAGAGGCUGUUUUACAUUAUAAUCAUAGCUAGAGAUUACAUAGAUGGAGGGAAAAAAAGUCUUUUGCUUUAACUCUUACUAAAUUUCUAUAAAGUAUUUUAAAAUCAAUUUAAAAACCAAAUCUGUACCUCUCCCCUCUAUCACAGUUUUUGUAAGUAAUUAAGAAUUUUACCCGUACGAUUGCACAGCGACUAGGGAAGAGAGAGGUAGAUGAUUCGGCCACCCUCUCACAAGGAAACCCCCAAAUACUUUAGGGCAUUAAACACAAGGCUUUUGUUAUCCAAAAGUAAUUAGUUGCAGAGUACAAAAACAUUUUGGAGCAGAAUGUACAUAAACAUGAGUCAUAAACAGCCGAAACCAAGAACACUAACAGUAAGUUCAUAAAGAAAUGCAUAAAUUCUAUGUAUCUUACAAAAAUGAUCCUCACAGAUGUUGAAUCCAAGAUUAUACAAUAGAAAAUAUCUAUAUGUUUUACAUUUAAUAUAAA
rnacentral:lncRNA from 1 species